ACGCGCAUAUAACACACUCGCGGCCAAUUAAAUGACUGCCAGUCUGCUGCGAGGCUCAUUUUUUACUCUUCGACUACUGCCACUUAUUCUCUUCUCCUCUUGGAGGGGGGGAGAUACAGAAAUACGAGCGGUUUUUAUCUUUAUGUUUAGAUUGUACAUUAAAGCACGAAGUUCGAACACAAUCGCUUGAUCGUAGUACGAAUCUAUAUCUAGGGUUCUACUCUCGCCAUUGCUACGUUUCUCUUGCUCAUCAACCUUGGAUUCCUUUUUCACGCAUUGCAUCGACAUCGACGGAGUUUUUAAGAUUCCGUUUGCUUCUAUGGUGUGCUCAUUGGGAAGUGGGAGAAUGGCAGUCAUGGCUCGAAUUUUGACAAGAAAUAUCUCAAAGACGAUAUCAGAAGAAAUUGGACAUCAGAAAUCAGUUGCUCAAUAUAUUUGCAGAGAAUUAUGUGAUGCAGAUGAACCAAAUUUGCUUGAUGAAGAAGAUAUGCAUGUUUUUGGCUUGAGGCCCAUUGCUGACCCAUUGUAUCUGGUAUGUUGCAAUACUUGUAAGAAGCCAAUAAAGACAACUCAAUAUGCAGCUCAUGCAGAACAAUGUUGGUCAUCAAAAUCUACAGAAGGAAUUACUUUGGAGCUUGAUGGUGGUGUAGCGUGUAGGAGACCACCAAGGAAAGAGAGAAAAAAGUUAUUAGCUGCUCAUCCUAAUCAAUCUACAACAGGUGGGAAGCAAGAAAGGUCUAGGUCAAUAGAUGCAGAUGAAGCAACCGCAUCAAAAUCUCAGUUUGAAAGCGGAAUGACUUCCUUGUUCUCCACGAAUAGAAAAGGAAAUUCUUCAUGUGGAGUGCCAUCCAGUAUAGAUGGUGCAGGAGUGAGUCCUGAGAAUACAGACCAUUCAGCAUGUGUGGUACCACCUCCAACAAAACGCACUAGACUGAUGACAGGUGAUCAUUUUGUUCUACCAGACGAUCCAGAAACAGCUUCUGGGGUGACAAAAAUCACUAGUGCAUGUACAUUGGAGAAUGAAUGCAGAACAUUGGUGUUUGUGGAUCCGUGGUGCUUCAACAGGGAUUCUCCCUUGCUAACUUCUUCAGGAAGUGUCAUGCCAAAUGAUUCUGUUGUUGCAAAUGAAGACCCUGACAAUGUCCAGAAAUUAUGCUUGUCAACAAAAGUGAAAUCAAAAUUUCCGGCUCCCCUCGCUACAAAAACAUUUUACUCGCAAAGAAACAAUCGUCUCCGUUUAGCAAUUACUCAUCUCUAUUCCGCGGUAUCAGUUGUGGACGUGAGCAGCAGUGUGGUGGGUCCAGAACUAUCUCAGGAAAUGCAAUUGGAAGCAUCAUCUCAGAUGUUCUCUUCACUCAAACAAGUUGAUGAUUUGAACGAUGAAAAGAUAGAGCCUUCUGCAUGUAGACCUGAUAAAAAUUUUGCUCAAAUCUCUAAUUUGGGCUUGAACAAAACGGGAGUAUGGCUACCAUCUAGCAGCCCUACAAAUGAUUUUCAUAUCGAUGGUGUUUCAAGGCCAGAGACUGCUCCUGUUGGAUUGCUCAGGGGCAAACAUGUCUCAAAGUCUUUUUCAAUCACAGGCAACUCAGGAAAAUCACUUGGACCCAUGCAGCAGCCAAAUGGAAGUGUUCCCGUUUUAUAGUAGUCCUCAUAGAAACUUGUAUAGGCAAUGCUGUAUCUACCCCGAUACAUGAGACUUGGUGCUCCAGUUCAGGGAAUAAUUGGGCAGCAGUUGCCUGUGGACCAUGUUAGUUUCAACCAGAAAUGUCAAAUUCUGAAGAUGGACAUGCCAGCAAAGGAAGGAAUGAUAGCAACAGGCUUGAACAGACUUGUGGUACUUGGGGUCUGUUAAAUGUCUUCUGCUACAUUAAGUGUAUGGCUUUGUCUUCUAUUGACAGUGAGGUUCUUCUCCAUCAUUGCCCAUCAUUCAGGGAAAGAACUAAGAAAGGUUUGCGUUUUAUAUUCCCUUAUUUAAAAUUUUUGAGUUUUUAAUCGAGUCCUAUGCAAUUAAUCUUCAUGAAAUUUGUUCUGGUUUAUGCUCUGAAGGCAAUCAGAAAAACAUGACCAAUAAUCAACAUCUAUGGAACAAAACCAACAUUUUCGGCCAAUUGAGCUUAUAUUGUCUGGUUCUGAUUUUGAUGUUGACAAUACAAUAGUGUUAACAUAUAUAUAGAUAAUUUCAGUUUUUAAAUAUCUAACGUAUUUUUUUGGAGAAAAACACCUUAUAAUAAUUUCGUAGUUAAGCGUAUUUAUGUAAGAGUACUAUUGGGAUGAGUGAUCUCUUGGGAAGUCAAAAUUGUGCGGGCAUGAUGUAUUCACAAGAACUGGAUCACCUAAAACAUAAUACUGUUGAUGUGUAUAUAAACUGAAGUUAUCAAACUACAAUAUAAAAUACUCCUCCAGCCUCCUGUGAGCGUGCAUGUGUUAUUGUUUUUAGCUCCUUCAAUUCGAAUUUUCUAUUUGUCUCUCGUUAAUUAUAGCUGGUGAGAAUUUACUCAUUUAGUAUAUUCUUUUGGUCAUUACGAGAAUAUACGAACGGGCGCACAAGGCUGCCGCAGAUUUGUGGUCUCCGCCCAUGGACUGCGACUUUGAGAUUCAA